GUAAAAAGCGCGCAGUGGAUAAUGGAGGGGGUCACAGUGGGCCAGGUCUUUGAUGCGGAAUGCAUCCUCAGCAAACGGCCGAGAAAGGGGAAGUUUGAAUACCUGGUGAAAUGGAGAGGAUGGUCCUCAAAGCACAACAGCUGGGAGCCAGAGGAGAACAUCCUGGACCCCAGACUGCUGGCUGCCUUCCACAAGAGGUGUGUGUGU